rnacentral:lncRNA from 1 species
UGAAUUUAAUCACACAUUGAAUUUACAUCUCAUAAAGAGGCAAUAUCAAAGCUAAUCUAGUAAAAUAGAUCGAUGAACAAAGAAAUUUAAAAAGUUGAAUCCAUAUAUGUUAACACAUCAAGUCAUCAAUAAUCGAUUAAUCAGAAAACAAGAUCUUGAGAGAGGCACAGAAACUAGACGAGAGCAUAUCAGUGGAGAGAAUUGACCAAAGGUGGGAGAGUUCAGAGGCAGUGACGGAGACUGGGGGAUCGGAGCAGAGAGCAGAUUUGAAGCAAAAACAGAGCAAUGGCGGAGAGAGGCACAAAAGAGAAAAAGAGAGCUGAUCGGAGACUAGCUCAGAGGUGGCGAAUGACAAAUGCUAACUUUCUAGAGAUUCAUAUUCAAAUCUGCGAACGCCAUCUUUCAUCUCAUCUCUGCAGUAGUAGGACUGAACGACGAAGAAAGCUGAACCACGAAGAACGUGAACCGCGAAGAGCACGAACACCAUUGUUACCUUCUCAUCUCUUCUCGUCUAAUCUCAACUCCAAUUGCUACAUGACCAAUUAAAUCAGUU